rnacentral:rRNA from 1 species
AUUGAACGCUGGCGGCAGGCCUAACACAUGCAAGUCGAACGAGUGGCGGACGGGUGAGUAAUGUCUGGGAAACUGCCCGAUGGAGGGGGAUUACUACUGGAAACGGUAGCUAAUACCGCAUACCAUCGGAUGUGCCCAGAUGGGAUUAGCUAGUAGGUGGGGUAACGGCUCACCUAGGCGACGAUCCCUAGCUGGUCUGAGAGGAUGACCAGCCACACUGGAACUGAGACACGGUCCAGACGCCUACGGGAGGCAGCAGUGGGGAAUAUUGCACAAUGGGCGCAAGCCUGAUGCAGCAAUGCCGCGUGUAUGAAGAAGGCUUUCGGGUUGUAAAGUACUGUCAGCGAGGAGGCGUUACUCGCAGAGGAAGCACCGGCUAACUCCGUGCCAGCAGCCGCGGUAAUAC